AGGAUGAACGCUAGCGGCAGGCUUAACACAUGCAAGUCGAGGGGCAGCAUUUAGUUGGCGACCGGCAAACGGGUGCGGAACACGUACAGAACCUACCUUUAUCUGGGGCAUAGCCCGAAGAAAUUCGGAUUAACUCCCCAUAAUAUAGAUGAGUGGCAUCACUUGACUAUUAAAAAUUUAUUGGAUAGAGAUGGCUGUGCGUCCCAUUAGCUAGUUGGUAGGGUAACGGCCUACCAAGGCGACGAUGGGUAGCUGGUGUGAGAGCACGACCAGCCACACGGGCACUGAGACACGGGCCCGACUCCUACGGGAGGCAGCAGUGAGGAAUAUUGGUCAAUGGACGCAAGUCUGAACCAGCCAUGCCGCGUGAAGGAUGAAGGCCUUCGUGGGUUGUAAACUUUCUUUUAUGGUGGGAAAGUAAACCUACUUUUUUCUAAGAGUUGUUGACGGUACCAUAGGAAUAAGCACCGGCUAACUCCGUGCCAGCAGCCG
rnacentral:rRNA from 1 species